AGUGAACGCUGGCGGUAGGCCUAACACAUGCAAGUCGAACGGCAGCACAGUAAGAGCUUGCUCUUACGGGUGGCGAGUGGCGGACGGGUGAGGAAUACAUCGGAAUCUACUUUUUCGUGGGGGAUAACGUAGGGAAACUUACGCUAAUACCGCAUACGACCUACGGGUGAAAGCAGGGGAUCUUCGGACCUUGCGCGAUUGAAUGAGCCGAUGUCGGAUUAGCUAGUUGGCGGGGUAAAGGCCCACCAAGGCGACGAUCCGUAGCUGGUCUGAGAGGAUGAUCAGCCACCCUGGACCUGAGACACGGUCCAGACUCCUACGGGAGGCAGCAGUGGGGAUUAUUGGCCAAUGGGCGCAAGCCUGCUCCAGCCAUCCCGCGUGGGUGAAGAAGGCCUUCGGGUUGUAAAGCCCUUUUGUUGGGAAAGAAAAGCAGCAGGUUAAUACCCCGCUGUUCUGACGGUACCCAAAGAAUAAGCACCGGCUACCUUCGU
rnacentral:rRNA from 1 species